GGUAUAGUGGCCGAAUGUCAGGCGGUAGGCUGUAGUCCUACUCACAUUGGUUAAUUCCUUUCUGUACC
rnacentral:tRNA from 1 species